GAUGAACGCUGGCGGCGUGCUUAACACAUGCAAGUCGAACGAAGCACCUCUCCCGAAGAUUGACACAGCUUGCUGUAGAUUGAUUCAUUUGAGGUGACUGAGUGGCGGACGGGUGAGUAACGCGUGGGUAACCUGCCUCAUAGGGGGGGACAACAGUUGGAAACGACUGCUAAUACCGCAUAGUAAGAAGAAUUCGCAUGUUUUCUUCUUGAAAGAUUUAUCGCUAUGAGAUGGACCCGCGUCUGAUUAGCUAGUUGGUAAGGUAACGGCUUACCAAGGCGACGAUCAGUAGCCGGCUUGAGAGAGUGAACGGCCACAUUGGGACUGAGACACGGCCCAAACUCCUACGGGAGGCAGCAGUGGGGAAUAUUGCACAAUGGGGGAAACCCUGAUGCAGCGACGCCGCGUGAGUGAAGAAGUAUUUCGGUAUGUAAAGCUCUAUCAGCAGGGAAGAUAAUGACGGUACCUGACUAAGAAGCCCCGGCUAACUACGUG
rnacentral:rRNA from 1 species